AUGGGUUUGGUCCUGGCCCUUCUAUUAACUCUUAGUAGAAUUACACAUGCAAGUCUCCGCACCCCGGUGAAAAUGCCCUUAAAAUCACUCAAAUGACUUAAAGGAGCUGGUAUCAAGCACGCCACAAAGCAGCUCAAGACACCUUGCCUAGCCACACCCCCACGGGACACAGCAGUGACAAAAAUUAAGCCAUGAACGAAAGUUUGACUAAGCUAUACUAAUACAUAGGGUUGGUAAAUUUCGUGCCAGCCACCGCGGUCAUACGAUUAACCCAAGUUAAUAGACAAACGGCGUAAGGCGUGUUUAAGAUAUUCUUCACAACAAAAUAAAGUUAAAUCAAAGCUGUGCUGUAAAAAGCUUCGGCUUAGAUAAAAAUAAACUACGAAAGUGACUUUAAAUAACUGAUUACACGAUAGCUAAGACACAAACUGGGAUUAGAUACCCCACUAUGCUCAGCCCUAAACUAAAAUAGCUAUAAUAACAAUACUAUUCGCCAGAGCACUACUAGCAAUAGCUUAAAACUCAAAGGACUUGGCGGUGCUUUAUAUCCCUCUAGAGGAGCCUGUUCUAUAAUCGAUAUACCCCGAUAAACCUCACCAACUCUAGCUAAUACAGCCUAUAUACCGCCAUCUUCAGCAAACCCUAAAAAGGACUCAUAGUAAGCAAGAGCAUUAACCAUAAAAACGUUAGGUCAAGGUGUAGCCCAUGAGUUGGAAAGAAAUGGGCUACAUUUUCUAAUAUAGAAUAUUUUAACGAAAAUUCCCGUGAAACCGAGAAUAGAAGGAGGAUUUAGUAGUAAACUGAGAAUAGAGAGCUCAGUUGAAUAAGGCCAUGAAGCACGCACACACCGCCCGUCACCCUCCUCAAGCACCACAAUAUAUAUGUAUAGACAAACCUAUUAACUACAUAUAAACAUGUAAGAGGAGAUAAGUCGUAACAAGGUAAGCGUACUGGAAAGUGCGCUUGGAUAAAU
rnacentral:ncRNA from 1 species